GAUGAACGCUAGCUACAGGCUUAACACAUGCAAGUCGAGGGGCAGCAUAGGGUUUGCUUGCAAACCCUGAUGGCGACCGGCGCACGGGUGAGUAACGCGUAUCCAACCUGCCCAUGGCUAGGGAAUAGCCCGUUGAAAACCGGAUUAAUGCCCGAUGUGGUCCAGCGAGGGCAUCUGACCCGGACCAAAGAGUUUUUCGGUUAAGGAUGGGGAUGCGUCUGAUUAGCUUGUUGGCGGGGUAACGGCCCACCAAGGCUACGAUCAGUAGGGGUUCUGAGAGGAAGGUCCCCCACAUUGGAACUGAGACACGGUCCAAACUCC
rnacentral:rRNA from 1 species